CGACUGAGCCCAAGGCACUUCUAGAGAAUGACCAGAGUUACGCUUGUUGUCCUAGUGUAAUUAUUAAAAGAUAAUUUUGACCCUUUCAUAGUCAAAAGUGUACCUGGUGGGGAGAAAUUAGUGUCUCCCUAGUUCUAGUCGUUUGGUUUGAGACAGGGAGGAGGGGGCGGAGGGAGGAGGCGAGCAGGUGAGGGGCGUUCUCUCUAAUAGGUCCCUUGCUCGACCUCCGGUGGCCUGAAGAAACUUAAUUUCGAAUCUGCAGACCCGUGGGGGCAACUGCGAUUGUACCUUUGCUCUUUUAACAACCGCUGUGCUAAUCGAAGUGGUUAAAGGCUCGUUUUUGAACUUCUCUCAGUAAACUGAGAAAGUAACAGUACUUCCUGAAAGCAUCAAGAAGAAAAAUGUCGGUGACACUGCAUACAGAUGUAGGUGAUAUUAAAAUCGAAGUCUUCUGUGAGAGGACACCCAAAACAUGUGAAAAUUUCUUGGCUCUUUGUGCCAGUAAUUACUACAAUGGCUGUAUAUUUCAUAGAAAUAUCAAGGGUUUCAUGGUUCAAACAGGAGAUCCAACAGGUACUGGAAGAGGAGGUAGCAGUAUCUGGGGCAAGAAAUUUGAAGAUGAAUACAGUGAAUAUCUUAAGAUAAGGAAACUAGCCAGAGUCCAGUGUAUAUGUGAAGAGAUUAUGGGGAUUUUGGUUUUGUUGUCUGCCUGAUCAUUUCAUGCCAGCACACUGUUCCUUAAUAUAAAUCACAACGUUAGAGGUGUUGUAUCUAUGGCUAAUAAUGGCCCAAACACCAAUGGAUCUCAGUUCUUCAUCACCUAUGGGAAGCAGCCACAUCUGGACAUGAAAUACACAGUAUUUGGAAAGGUAAUAGAUGGUCUGGAGACUCUAGAUGAAUUGGAGAAGUUACCAGUAAAUGAGAAGACAUAUCGACCUCUUAAUGAUGUACACAUUAAGGACAUAACUAUUCAUGCCAACCCAUUUGCUCAGUAGCUGUAAUAGACCUGGACAAAUACUUGGCAAACUAUUCAAGGAACACACCUAUUAUGGUUCACCCAGUUUUAAUUAUGUCAGAGAUUGCAUCAUUAUACAGCUUGUUUACAACUAAGAUCUACUUGUUUACAGCUAAGAUCUUCUAUGAGUUGGUGUUACCAAGGGAAGCCAAACAGCUUUUACUCCUAUUCUUAGAGGGUAUUCUUUACUGUAACUAUUACCUAAUGCAUUUCUUUAAUUUUUUUUAAAAAACCCUAUGUUUAAUUUUGUUUUUCCAUAUAAAUAUUCAUUUUAAAAUGCUGAGUCUCAAAUCCAGGCAUUGUUGAGCACCCUAAUUACAUGCUCCUACCAUAUGUAGUCCACAUCCUGGAAAUAUUAUUUUCUAUUAAUUAUUUACUUUAUACAGUUAGAAAGAGGAAGGACAAAUAAAGAGAUGGCCUGGAAAGGCCGGUCAAUCCAGUUGUUAUUUUCCCUGGUCUUUAUAGUAAAGGCUCAGAGAAGUCUUGAAGUACAGUAAACACUCAGAAUUUCCCAACUCAUGUGCCCAUGGAACAUUUUUAAAAAAUAUAUCUUUUUUUGUAAAGCAAUUAUACCCCAAUAAAGAUGUUAAAAAUAAAUAAAUAAAUAAAUAAAACUCUUAAAAA